GCCGGGCAUGGUGGCACACUCCUGUAAUCCCUGCCGCUCUGGAGGCUAAGGCAGGAGGAUUGCAAGUUCUAGGACAGCCUCAGCAAUUUAGGGAGGUCCUUGGCAAUUCAGUGAGAUCCUGUCUCAA
rnacentral:sRNA from 1 species